rnacentral:sRNA from 1 species
GCUAGAGGAAUAAAGUCUAAGAUUAUCGCGACAUCACGUCGCAACGACUGCAUGACCUGCAUCGUGCGGG